rnacentral:lncRNA from 1 species
AAAUUAGUUGUAUUCAUAUUAUAUACCACUUCUUUCAUUUACUUCUUGAAUUUUGAUCCUUUUUAAUUAUCUUGAUAUAUAUCAUGGGUGUUUUUACUUUCAAUGAUGAACAUGUCUCAACCGUGGCUCCAGCUAAACUCUACAAAGCUCUUGCAAAAGAUGCUGAUGAAAUUGUCCCAAAGGUGAUUUCUGCUGCCCAAAGUGUUGAAAUUGUUGAAGGAAAUGGAGGACCAGGAACCAUUAAGAAGUUAUCCAUUGUUGAAGGUAAUUAAGAUCACAUACUAUGUACAAAUAUAUAAUACUUAACAUCAAAUGAUACAUAGUGUUCGCGUAAAAUUGUUUUGCACCGACAACCGAUCAAUGUUUGUCGGUACAACAAAGAAUUGGGUUACUACCUUUUAUUUGAAAAUUGACAAACAUGAUGUGACAAAUUAAAGAGUUGUAAUUGAUUAAAUGAUACAUAGUUUUAAUAAUUUGAUUAAAUGAUUCACAAAUAAGUUAAGUUAAAUUCAUUAUUACCAAAAAAACAAAGUUAAAUUCAAGUGUAGUAAAAAAAAAAUUAUUCAAUUCUAUUUGGAUAGUCAUUGUAGAAUUUUAAAAUAUAAUCUUGAGAAAUAAAGGAGACAAUACAUAAGCUUGUACCAAGGGCAUGUCUAAUAAUUAUGGACCUUCAAAAAAAAAAUGAUUCAGGUGAUUCAGGACACUUGGUAAAGUUCAAAACGAUCUUUAACCGAAAGAGUUUUUAGUCAAACUAUACUUAUAUUGAAAAAAGAACUAUAUAAAUAAGGAAAAUGUUAACAAGUGUCCUUAAGGUAUUGUUUAAGCAUCCAAAAUUAGUAGUUUUUACUUUGAAAAUUGUGUAAUUAUGACUUGUAUAUAUGUUUGACUUGUAUUUUCAAGACAAACUUUUUUUUUGUGGAUUCCUUUAACAAUGUCCUUAAGACACUUGUUAACAAGACCAUGUAAAUAAUUAUAAUGGUUAUAUUGCAGAUGGCAAAACCAACUUUGUGCUACACAAAUUAGAUGCAGUAGAUGAGGCAAACUAUGGAUAUAACUACAGCUUAGUAGGAGGAACAGGGUUGGAUGAAAGUUUAGAGAAAGUUGAAUUCGAGACAAAUAUUGUUGCUGGGUCUGAUGGUGGAUCCAUUGUUAAGAUUUCAGUGAAAUAUCACACCAAAGGUGAUGCAGUUCUAUCUGAUGCAGUACGUGAGGAGACUAAGGCCAAAGGAACUGGUCUUAUCAAGGCUAUUGAGGGCUACGUCUUGGCAAACCCUAAUUACUAGCCAAUUAAACCCUAUUGAGGACUUUAAUUUGGGUUGUGUUGUUUUAUGCGAAUAAUAAUUAAAGUUUAUGAUGUAGUUGAAUGUGUGUUGAGUAUACAUCAAGGUCUUUGGUUCGUACAUGUGUGUUGGCUAUGUUGGAUGUUGUGAGGUUUGAGUGUUAUUUUGGGUGUUUAAAAACAAAAACCUAUGUUGUGUUGGUGAUAAGGUUUUGCACCAUUUGUAUUCUGCAAUAAAUAAUGCAAAAGAAUUUUAUAGCACUUUCGGUUAUUUGAAUUUAAUUUAGGAUCACAUCAAACUAACAGUGCAUAUGACUUUCGAUUGGUAAUUUUAACCAAAGCUGUCUACAAUUAUUUAAAUAGUUUGGUUGAGUUUUGUCUUGAAUUGAUUUGAGCAAUUUAAAGUAAGUGAAUCAUAUUUUGAAAGAGUCAUCAUGACAAAUUUGAUUUUUAAAACAAAACCCCCAGUGUGUAAAAUAAGCAUGAUGAUGAGGCGGGUGAUGAUGAGUUUUACCUUCCCCAUCCUUAUACCCUACUCUCAUAUACUUACCUGCCACUUUACCUAUAUCUAAUGAGGGUGAGAAGUCGAACCCCAUCACUGUCUCCGACGGGUUUAGGUAUCCCCGCGUCAUCUCCGUUGUGGAUAAUUUUUUUUAAUGAAAAAAGUGUUUUUCUACUUCAGGCGCAAUGUUGUAAUACAUUAUCCUACAAAGAGAUGAUGACGAUCGAUAACUACGUUGAUGGAGAAGUGAGAGACCGAGAUUGAGAAGUGAGAAUCAUCUGAGAGACUAAGACUCUGACUAUGUGAGGAGAAUAAAGAGAACUCUGAGAAGUGAGUGUCAUCUGAGAGACUAAGUUUUGAUUGUGUGAGUGAAAUGAUUUAGGGUUUGAGUUUCUAUUUAUAUAAAAUGGAUAAUAAAUUGAUUUUCUACAUGUGGGGCGGGUUUGAGUGUGGGUUCGGGGUGAAUACAUAUAUCCUCGUUACCUAUCCAGUAUCCAUGUUUUGAAUCAUGGAAAAUUCAAACUCAUACCCAAAUCCAAUAAAAGCAGAGAAAAUCCGUCAAAUUAGAUUUGUUUCAAAUGGGUACCCGCAGAUAUGCAUUUUGUUGUCUUACCUCAAAAUCACUAUUUAGUAUAGAAAAGUUAACUUGUAACUAAUGUACAACUUAAAGUUAAGAAGUUAAAUGCAAAAUUAUAUUUAGAAAUUGCGCAUUUCUUAUCCUAAAGUUUCUUCUUUUUCAAGGGUAAUUCCUUGAGAGUUUAAAAACUAAAUUUUAAUUCAAUACAAAAAUUUUGUUUUGAUUUCAUUUUUAGAUCGUUAAUUUGUGUCCUUGGUAUACAAAUUAACCUAACUCAUUGAGUAUGUGUUUGUUUUUUCUUAAAAAGAGUAUGUGUUUAGCUGUAAAAUAACAUUAAACAUGAGUCGUCCAACCUGACACUCUAAUUAGUAGCUUCUGAACCUCAUGAUUAAAUGGUAACUCACAUUGGCUGUGAACUAACUCUAUCCCAAAUUGGUGCUUAAUACGCUAAUUUAGGGAUAUUUGUGGUGCAGUUUGAAUUAGUUUUGAUGCAAAUAGUCAUCAUAUUUAAAAUAAAAAUCGCAUGCGGAAAAUAUAGGGUAAAAUAUAACGUUUAAUGGAAAAUAUAGCAUGAAUAUAUAUUAAAAAAUAAUAUUACAGAAUAAAAAUUAUCAAUUAUAUUCUAAACAUAGGAAGAAGUAAUACUAUACAAUAAAUUAAUGCAAUAUAUAAAAAAAAAUAAAAAAUAAAACCGAGAAGCUAUAUAUUAAUGCAAUACACACACUAAUAAAAUAAUAAAUAAGUAUUAAAAUUUACAAAACAACAUCCAAAAAAAAUCAAUUUUUUUGUUGUUGUUUUUUUUGGAUUAGUGUACGGUUUUAUUUUGGAUGCGUUUGAAUUUGAAUAACCACAUGCCUACUAGGCUAACUGUGUAUAUUAUUUAGGAAAUGUCAUAAAAGGUACUCCCUCAAUCUUAAAUAAUUAUCAUUAUUUAACUUUCAUCCAUAUCAAUGUACAAUUUUAACUAUUAAUAUUCUUAGUUAUUUAUUAAUAAAAGUUGUAAAAAAUUGAUAUUUUAAAAAUAUUCGUUGAGAUAAAUUGAACAAUAUUUUAUUUACUAACAUUUUAUUUACAAAUAUGAUCAAAGUAGAUUAUGUGAAUCGUACGUAUGGUCAAACUAUGACAAUAAUUUUGAAAUAGAUGGAGUAAUUUUGAAAAUAGAAAAGAGAAAUGUUAGCUAGUGCCUUCCGGUGCACUAGCUAUAUGAAAAACGUGUGGAGUAAUUUUGAAACCAAUAUAGAAAAUUGUGUUGAGAAGUAUGAAAAAGUUGUACGUUCAACUUUUUAAAAGUCAAAAAUUUAUUAUUUUUAUAAAAAAAAAAAUCUACUUCUAAUUUUUUUAACUAAUGCUCCAUAAUCAAUAGUUAGCAUGACUGGAUAAAAAAUGACAUAUCAUAUCAUACUAACAAAUGUUCUAAAGUUACAUUGUUAUGGACAUUUGUUAGCAUUUUUUACUUUUAUUAAAAAAAUAGGCAUUUCACACGGUUACUUUUGGCUUUAUCACAUUUUGCGUUCACAUAUCUUUGUAAAUAAAUAUGCCUUAUAUUGAUCAGGAGUAAAUUGGAACACAACUAGCAUCUCUCCAUUUCUCUCUAUCAUCAUGUGUAUAUCACAAUUUUUUGAAGAAGUUAAAGAAAUCAUGUUAAAAAUCAAAUAAAGCUCCUUUAACAUAUGGUGCGUCAAAGCAACCUAAUAAUCCAAACAGCUCACAUUACAACAUGUCGUAACAACCCAACAAAAAAUUAGAAAACUAUCUUUAAGCAAAACAAAGGAUUUUGCCUCGAAAACACGUGAUAUAAUUUUAACCACCAAUAAAUUUGUAGUUUAAUUUUUUCACUCAGAGAUUGAAGUUGAUUACUCUUCUGUUGAAAGAUCCUAACAUUUCUUUCUUUGAAAUGACGCAAAGCACUGAAAAGUCGAAAGAAGUUCUCCUUGGCGAAUCCCUUUUUUCAACUUAAACUCAUUAGUAAGGCUACCAUUCACAAGUACCGAAGUCGUUGCUGUUGAGACACAUUCUAAAAUCCAUUGACUCCAGCGCUAAGGGUAAUUCAGUUUGGUCAUCAAAUCUCCCAAAUACCUCCAAUGAACUGAGUCAUAGGUUUUUUUGAAAUCAACCUUAAAAAGAAUAAGUUCUUUCUUAGAUUUACACGCAUCACCCUUUAACUCAUUGGCUAUCAGAAUUGCAUCUAAAAUUUGUCUACCUUUUACAAAAGCAAACUAAGAUUCUGAAACACCAUUACUAACCACCUUCCUCAAUCUAUUAGCAAGAACUUUUGACAAAAUUUUAUACACCCUCCGUCCCUUAAUGUAGGCACCUAUUGCCUUUUCACAUUUCUUAAGAAAUGUUGUCAGUGUAAUUAAUGUGUUUGUUUUGUGUGUUAAUAAUUAUCCUUGGUUUGUAUGUAUUAAAUUUGACUUUUCAUAUUUCAAGACAAGUUAGUAGUAUUAAUUAGGGAUAUGUUUAGGAAAAAAUUAAUAAACGCAUCUAGUAAUUUGAAAUGGAAUUUAAAUUUAGAGAAAAAAAUAAAAUCAAACGGAAACUUAGAUAUAAGGACGGGGGAGUAUAAGCUACCAACCAAAGAAAUAGGUUGAAAAUAUGCCAACUUCUAAAGACUCUUAGCUUUGGGAAUCGAAGUAAUAAAAGUAUUUAUGUCCUUUGUUAACUUACCAUUGUGAUGAAACUCAACAAACAAAUUCUUUGAUAAAACCAAUAUUAAUCUCAUCUUGCUCAGGACUCUUAUAACUAUCACAAUCUCACACUCAUGCCUCUAUCUCUUCCAACAAAAAAGGUAUAAUAAGAUCAGCCACAUCCUUCAUACUAAUAGUUUUAAAAGAAAGAUCCCCUAACCCAGGUCUGGACUCCAUUGCAACUUUAAAAUUAGAUUGAAAAUGUUGAAAAGCCACACUCCUCGCCCCUUCCACACCCUUAAUCUGAACACCUUUAACAUUAAUAGAAAUAAUCACAGUUGACCCGUCUCCUAGAAGACACCACCCCAUGGAAAAAAAAAAAAAAAACGAAUUAGCACCACCCUUCUUUAACCAAGUCGAUCUAGAUUUUUGCCACUGAAUACUAAAAUGUAAUUUAUAUAAAGCCACAACAUCUGCUAAUAGAAAUCAAAGAGAGAAAUCAACAUAUCAAACAAAACGAAACCGAAGAACCAAUGCAAAUUGAACUAAAUAACCAACCUAAAUCAAACCACCAUUAAUCAAAUCAUCCUUAUCAAAUCCACCAAUCAAUCACAAUACUAACAAUUCCAUCGUGUGAAGAACAAUGAAUUCAAAUGGAGAAAAACUAAUGGAUAUCAAAAUAAAUCCAUAGAGAACAACCGUGACAAUUGCUUAACAAAUAGUAAUUCAACUAAAAAGAAAAGUCCUAAUCCAACAAAAACCAACACAUUAAUAUCCAAGUGCCAUCAGGACUCAACUGAAUCUUUGAAUCAAAAAAAUAAUAGAUAGCUAAAACAAUAAAUCUUAUAGUUUACAAACAAAUCAAAAUGCAAAACAGAUUCCUAAUUUUUUUUUUUUUUUUUUUGAAAAAUUAACAACGGAAUAGCCGUGAAUCAUAUAAGGAGGGUCAAAACAUGCUCUUGAUACCAUGUUAACAAUAUUAGGUUUAGAGCUCUUAUACAUGGAGCAUCGUAGGUGACAUACAAACUUUCACGGUGUGAUGUGAAAUUACUAAAAUACCCCUGUCACAUGGGGGUAUACAUGAGAGGUACAUAAAAAAGGAUGUCUAUCUAUCUUUUUUCAUAGAUUUAAUAAAAAAGGGAGAAUAACACAAAACAACUAGAAUUUUAUAAAAUGUAGAUGACUUAACAUUACAAAAGGUUAACAUAAACCUAAUGGAUUACUAACUUAAUAAUAGUUUAAGUUAAAAACUUUAUUAUCUAACCAAUUUUAUCUACUUCCAAUAUAUCACCUACGAAUUUUCUAUUUUUGAAUCCCGUCUACACUCUGAGUCAUGGAAUACUGCGAGACUAUUUCAUAUUGAUUUUCGUAACCCAAUUCAAGAUAACACAAAGAGGGUUGACCCAAUCACAAUCACCAAUAAAUAAAUGAGCUUUUGUCAAAAAAAGACGACCUGAUCAAUGAGCUAUUUUUCAACAAAAUAAAGUGAGAUUUACGAACAAGCCACAAGGUAUGUCCUACCAAAGUUCUAUAAAUACCAUUCCUCACCAUCUCAUAAACCCACAUCACAAGCGAAAUUAGUUGUAUUCAUAUUAUACAUUUCUCUUUUCAUUUUCUUCUUGUAUAUUGAUCCUUUUUAACUAUCUUGAUAUAUAUCAUGGGUGUUUUUACUUUCAACGAUGAACAUGUCUCAACCGUGGCUCCAGCUAAACUCUACAAAGCUCUUGCAAAAGAUGCUGAUGAAAUAGUCCCAAAGGUGAUUUCUGCUGCCCAAAGUGUUGAAAUUGUUGAAGGAAAUGGUGGACCUGGCACCAUCAAAAAGUUAUCCAUGUCUGAAGGUAAUUCAUUAAGAGCAUUUACUAUAUCCCUGUCAAAAAAAUACAACUUUAUUAAUUAGUAAUUCAAUAGACAUGUUAAGAAAUCAUAUACUCACUUUUAUUUUUGAAUUAGAUUUUGAGUGUUGAAGGAGACCAAUGAUAAUACAUAAACUGAGUCUAUAUAUAAAUAAUAAGCUUCAAGAAACAACUAAUUUCCAUGGAAAAAGAAUAUAUAAGAUACUUCAUGCAAGAUUCAAGAGAACCACUAAACUGGAGACAGGGCCGGCCUAAGGACCAAACAACCUAAACAAGGGUUUUAGGCUUCAAAACUUUUGGUAAAAAAAAAGGUCUUUAAAAAAUUAAUUUGGUCAUAAGUAUAUUAUAUGACAGAUAAAUUACAGACAUUUGAAUAGCUUAACUGAUCAAAAAGGUUUUAAUUACUCAUGGUCAUGAAUUCAAAUUUUGGUCUCCACGCAAUUGCUUUUAUAUAAAUAUUCUAUUAAAAAAAUAAUUUCAAAGGCCACAUUAAAUUUUUUGAUUUAAGCCUCUUAAUCUGUUGGGUCGGCCAUGGCAGGAGAUCCAACUAUUUGUAUAAACUACAGUCGUUGAAAUGUAACUAUUGUGAGAGUGUUGCUUGUUUUCAUUAUAUAUAGUAGUUAUAUAUUCAAAUGAAAUGAAUGAUCAAAUUAACACUAAAAUUUAGUUAAAAUCAUUUCAAAUAUCAAUAUAUUAUUGUCAAGAUUAAAUUAUGUAAUUUUAUAUGAUUUCAACCUAAUGGUAAAGAGUGGUUAUAAUAUAUCCAGAUUAAUUGUAAAUAGACUCGUAUUCAAUAAUUAUAGUAAUUAAGAUCAACUUUUUAAUCAGCCCAAUAAAAUGUGUGGUCUACAACUAUAAGAUUCACACAAUAUUAUAGUAAAAUAGACUUAACAAUCAAGUGAUUAAAUAUAUCCAGUUACAUUAGAAUUGAUCUAUGACAAAAACAAUUUUUAGUCGAACUUUACUUUCAUUUUGAGGGAACCAACUUAUAUAAAUUAUGAUGGUUGUAUUGUAGGUGGCAAAACCGACUAUGUGCUACACAAAUUAGAAGCAAUGGAUGAAGCAAACUUGGGAUACAACUAUAGCAUUGUAGGAGGAACAGGGUUGGAUGAAAGUUUAGAAAAAGUUGAAUUCGAGACAAGUAUUGUGGCUGGCUCUGAUGGUGGAUCCAUUGUUAAGAUUUCAGUGAAAUACCACACCAAAGGUGAUGCAACUCUAUCUGAUGCAGUGCGUGAUGAAACUAAGACCAAAGGAACUGGACUUAUCAAGGCCAUUGAGGGAUACGUUUUGGCAAACCCUAAUUAUUAAGUAAAAUGUAUACUUGGUUGUGUUGUGUCAUACCAAUAAUAAUUGAAGUUUAUGAUAUGGUUGUUUGAUUUAUACAUCACGAUUUCUAGCUUAUACAUGUGUGUGGGCUUUGUUGUUUAAUUACAAAAAUCUAUGUGUUGAUGUUGAGGUUUUGUACCAUCUAUAAUUCUGUAAUAAAUAAUGAAGAAUUUUCUAGCACUUUUCAUUCGGUAUUUUAACUUUAUAUGCCUUGACCAUUAUUGGUACACCAAUUUCCUUUCCUCUUGUUAUCCUUUUUUUUUCUUUCUUUGGAUUUAUUUUUGACUUGUAACACAUAAAAACUCAACUCAUCACUAGCAUGCUUUGAAUUUUACUAUGGCUGAGAAAAAGUAAAAACAUAAUGUGAGUAUGAUAGAGAAAGUUGUCAUAUAAUGGUUAUAUAAAUAUUAUUUCUCUAUCAUAAAUGUAAAGUGGAAGAUAUUGAAUUGAGAGUGAUGAAAUUUGUAUGGGUCUUGUUAACGAGUGCCCCCGAGGGCACUCUUUAAGCAUACUAAAUUAGAAAAUUAUUCUUUAAAAAAUUCAAAUAAUUCAAUUUCCAAUGCAUUGAAUACAUAACUUUUCAUAAAAAGUUACUAUUUAAGACCCUUAAAGAGUGUCCCCAGGGCACUAGUUAACAUUUCUGAAUUAUAGUAUUAAUUAAGAUGUAUAAUUGAAAAAAGAUAGUUAAUUAAUAUUAUAUUAAAAAGUGAAAUUGAUCAUUCAUUUUAGAUCUUUCUUCUUUUUUACAAAUAAAUUACUUAUUGUGGAACAUGAGGAGUAUCAUUUAUGCUCAAACUAAUCAUGCAAACUCUAAUAUAUAUAAACAAUUAUAAAUCAAAUAGACUUCAAUUUGAUAUUCCUUGCACUCGAAUAAUUUGGUAAGAGACAAAUUAAAUAAAGGAAUUUAAGUUUUUAUAAAUAAUCAACAUGUUAUAAGAUACAAUUGUUUGAAAAAGAAGAAUGGUGGUUUGCGGGUUAGGGUCUCUUAGUUAAUCAUCUAUUUCUGUUUCAUGUUUUUUUUUUUAAUAAUUUAUUUCUGUUUCAUGUUAUUUACCAACUUUAUAUUAGUUUUUUUGUAACUUUUUUAGUACAACUUGUGCUGAAAAGAUUUUGGUUAAUGAUAUUCUAUUUUGACAUGCUAAAAAAAAUGAUGAAUGUGAACCCGUUAAAUAAGUAAACGAUAUAGUACAUAGGUUGCAUAUUUUUAAACUUUGCCGUCUUUGAAUUGAAUUCUUGAUGCUUUUGUCCAAGUCAAAUUUCGAUUUUUAAUUCCUUUGCCCAUCUCUUCAUCGGCCAAAACUUCUGAGCUAAUAAGUCAUUGAUCUAUAUCUAUAUAUCUAUCUAAAGAAAAGUCAUUGAGUUGAAAAUAUCAUUUUGAAGAUAUGCUCUACAAUUUAUGGUUUUGAAAAAUAAUACACGCUCUCUAAUAUGGACAGCUUUGUUUUACACACUUAUUAAUCCUACUUAUUAAAGGUGCUACUAGCUAGUAACAGAUGGGAAACUUUUUGUUUCAAGUUUACCAAAUUUAUUUUUGGUGAUAACAUUUCUUGGAACAUAAAGAUGAGAAUUUUAUUCUAAAAUAUUUAGAAAAAAGAUGUUUGCUUAACAUUAUAGUAUUCUCAGAAACCAUAAAAAUAAGGAUUAUAAUAGAUAAUUACACAUGAAUCUAUUCCCAUGUUCAUGGGAACUUUAUUCCCACUAGUUUCUGUGAGAAAUUUUUUCCAUUCCCAUAAACAUUUUAUACCUGCGAAUAAAAUUUAAUAAAUUUGUAACAAACAUAGACAUGCAUAUGUCUAUUGUUUUAUUCCCAAAAAUCUACAUAGAUAACUUGAAAUAAACGUACCCUUAAAUUUAAUUAUUUACUGAAAAGAAAAAUGUGAUAAGGAAUCUGUUUCUACACCUCCAGGAAACACUAUCUCUUUUUCUUUUACGGAUCAAAGCUACAUUAUUUAGUUCCGUAAAUACAAUUUGAAUGGUAAAAAAUUUAAAGAUAUUUGAUUAAUUGGAGUGCGAGUUUGAAUAUAUAAUUCUUCACUUUAAAUGUUUUAAAGUAGAAUUGAUUUUUUUUGUAAAAUUAAUUCUACUCAAAGCUAAAUGUCGAGGCACGAAUAUUGUUCAAUUCACUUUUACUUAAAUAUAAUAAAACAUAUAUUAUUUUACAUUUAAUCAGAAUUAACUGUACAAAAUUAAUUCAUUUAGAAUCAAAUUUUUGUUGUGUAGCAUAAACAAACACACACUAAAUUACGUAGUUUGAUUUCUUUAUUAAAAAAAAGAAAGAGUAAAAUGAUUUCAUAUUUUGUCUUCAUUCCCAUUAGUUUGUUAUUGUCUUUGUAAUAAAAAAAUUAAAAAAAAUAUUUUUUUUCACUACGUAAAAACUUCACGUAGAUCUUUUUAUCAUUAAUUAAUUCGUGCGUGGUUAUGUACGACUGAGUCUCCUUAUUUUAGGAUAACGACUUCAAAUCUUUCAUACAUCAAUCUUCACCAAACUUUAACGGUGUGUUUGGAUGUAAGAUGAAAAUGAAAAGUGAUAAACAGAUGAGAAAGAGUGUGAGAAGAGAGAAAGCGAUAAGCAAUACAAUAGAUUUGUAGCAUUGAUUAGUAUAAAAAUGAGAAGAGAAAUAUAAAAAAAAAAAACAGAUAUUUUAUUCUUUGAAAAAGACAAAAACAACCUCCAUUAAAAAUAAAAUAGUAAAAUAUCGCUACUAUAUUAUGCUAUCUAAAGUUUGUCAUAAAAAUUAUCCUAUAUUAUAAUUUAUUAGUAUAAUAAUAAAUCUCAUGAAAUAAAGUGAAAAAUUAUUUACUUUUUCAUUGUGCUGUAAAAAAGUACUCCAUGUUAAUCAAUGUAUAAAGCAUUUAAAAGAAAGGGGCAUAAUUGGAAAUAUGCAAUAAAUAGGUUGCUCUAUUGGACUUUCAGGAUUGAAAAAACUGUCGGUACCAAAAAUUAAUUCGAACUUGAAUUAUUUCUUUUAACGCAACUUUAGAUGGCUCCUUGUGACUUUAAUUAAUAAUAUCAAACAUUUAUCUUGUAAAACAAGGUAGGACCUACCAAUAUGUCACUUAGUCAUGGAUUUCUAGACUAAUUCACAUUUUUAGAAUCGAAUUCAAGAUUGUCGACAUCACAAAGAGAAUUGACCCAAUAAAUAAAUAUCAAAAUACUUGAGCUAAAUAAAUAAGUGAGAUUUUGCAAACAAGGUAGGUCCUACCAAAGUUCUAUAAAUAGUAACCCUCAAUGUGUUAUAAACCGCAUCACAAACUAAAAUAGUAGCAUUAUUCAUAUUAUACAUUAAUUUCUCCUUUCAUUUACUUAUUGCAUAUUGAUCCUUUUUAUCUUGAUAUAUAUCAUGGGUUCUUUUGUUUUCAUUGAUGAACAUGUCUCAACUGUGGCUCCAGCUAAACUUUACAAAGCACUUGCAAAAGAUGCUGAUGAAAUCAUCCCAAAGGUGAUUCCAGCUGCUCAGAGUGUUGAAAUUGUUGAAGGAAAUGGAGGACCUGGCACCAUUAAGAAGUUAUCCAUGUCUGAAGGUAAUUGAUUAAGAUUAUAUAACAUUUACACAGUUGAAUUUUUGGGACUAGAGUUGAUUGUUGGUAUAUUGAAAUGAGAUUCAACAAUCAAGUAAUUAACGAUAUCCAGUUACGUUCAGAUUGAUCAAUGACUUAAACAAUUUUUAGUCAAACUUUAUUUAAAUUUGAGGGAACAAAACUUAUAUAAAUUAUGAUGGUUUAAUUGUAGGUGGUAAAACCGACUUUGUGCUACACAAAUUAGAAGCAAUGGAUGAGGCAAACUUGGGAUACAACUAUAGCAUAGUAGGAGGAACAGGAUUGGAUGAAAGUUUAGAGAAAGUUGAAUUUGAGACAAAUAUUGUGGCUGGAUCUGAUGGUGGAUCCAUUGUUAAGAUUUCAGUGAAAUAUCACACCAAAGGUGAUGCAGUUCUAUCUGAAGCUGUACGUGAGGAAACUAAGGCCAAAGGAACUGGACUUAUCAAGGCCAUUGAGGGUUAUGUUUUGGCAAACCCUAAUUACUAGCAAAUUAAACAUUUGCUUUAAUAAUAAUUAAAGACUAUGAUAUGGUUGAAUGUGUGUUGGAUAUUUUGAGGUUUGAGUGUUGUUUUGAGUGUUUAAAAACAAAAACCAAUGUUGUGUUGGUGAUGAGGUUUUGCACCAUCUGUAUUAUGUAAUAAAUAAUGCAAAAGAAUUUUCUAGCACUUUCCGUUAUUUUUUUAGAGGAAUAGCACUUUACAUCAUUUUAAUUUAAUUUAGGAUAACAUCAAACUAAUAGUGCAUGUGGUUUUCAAUUGGUUGAAUUUUAAACUAACACUGUCUACGGUUCGAUUAUUUAAACAGUUUGGUUGAGUUUUGUCUUGAAUUGAUUUGAGCAAAUUAAAGCAAUUGAAUCAUGUUUUGAAAGUCUCAUCAUCUUGUCCAAUAUGAUUUUUAAAACAAAACCUACUGGUUUGAUAAACCGUUAAAAGGGAAUUAGAAUACAUCGAAACAACACAAAUUUUUAUGAUACUAAAAUUAAAGAAGAUAAAAUUGUGAAUACCUAUAAAAGUCUCACAACACCCUAAUUUCUUUUUUCUUUUUUAAAACACAUGUAAGUUAAUAACAUAAAAGGAUAAAAAUACCUAUAAAUACGACAAAUAAAGCAACUAAAAUACUAUAUGCAGAGCCUACCCAACAUUUUGGUAGGCCUAAAGUGAAUUUUUUAUUGAUGCUUUUUAAAGUAAAAUAUUAAACUUUGUUGAACCCAAGGUUUGAACCAAAGAUGCAGAGGAUUUGAGACCUCUUCUUGACGAACUAAAGUUAUGCAAGCAUUUAUAAUUAUUUUAUCAUAUUAUGUAUUUAUAUCUAAAGUUGAUAUGGUCAUUGCGUAUCCACGAGGAUUUGAGGCCUCUUUGUUGCUGCCUACCCACGAGGUUUAAUUUGCAAAAUCAUGGAGUCCAUUGUCUGUCACUUGUGUGGUUUGUAAUAAUGAUUUGAAAGAUCAAAUGCACAUGUUUAUGCACUGUAAUUUUGCUACUGAUUGUUGGAAAGAAGUAAAUCUUUGGGCAAGAUAAAGUCAUACAUAACGUCAAAUGAUAGUUUUUCAUCCAUUAUCUUUGAUAUUCUUGUAGCUAUUUAUUGAGUGUUUGGCAUGCACGUAAUGCUUGUUUAUGGGAGGAAAAACUUGUCGAUGCACAUACAUCUUGCGUCCUGGAAUUAGAUACAGUUCGAGAUUACGUGUGGUGUCAUCGUCUCAACGAUGUUGUGCAGUCUGCUACUCCAACUUAGUCCAAACUGCAGGCAGAUUGGAUCAAGUCUUACAUCGAUUGUGUUCUUUUUGAAGCUGAUGGAAAAUUUAGUGUUGGUAUCUGUUUUCGAGACCGCCUUAUCCAAGAACUAUUCCAUCCUAUAGCAAGAAGCUUAGAUAUUAUCUUAUAAAGCACAUUACAUAAUGAAAUUACCCUCCAUUCCUUCAUACUAGUUGGUUUUGUCACAUUUAGGAAUAAGGCAAAUAUUAUUAUCAUUCAAUUAAUGUGCUCGGAAAAUAACCUAUAUAUAACCACAUAUUCACAACUUCAAAAAUUUCAUCACUACAAAGAUUCCAAAACCUUGAAAAAAAAAACCCGGAUUAAAACCAUGAAGACUCGAUGACUUAUUUGAAUGCAUUUGAAAUAACGUAAGUUUCAGCUCCUCUUUAGUAAACGGUGCUAAAAUAAGGUUGUUGUUUGCAUCGGUUAUCUUUGGUUGAAGGUGACAACUAGGCUACCCAUGAAAGAAUGAUGGGUAAUUUACCCUAACCAAUACACAUUAGCCACAUAAGCACAUAUUCAUGAACUAUCUUGACCCCACAAAUAAAUUGUUCAUUUUCAUUGGUUGGUAGGUAAAUUACCCACCAUUCUUCAAAAGUAAUUUAAAAAGAACCUUGAUGGAAUCAUACCAAUCAUUAAAAUUUUCAAUAUCACAAUCAUUUACCGCCUCCUUAAACCCAAGAUAAAUCCAAUUAGGAUGGGAAUGUUGGCCUCGAAUAUUCUCUUGAGAUAAAAUAUCAUUAAAAUUUCUUAUGAUACACCAAGGCAUAUGAGACAUGUCCCUCAACUCUCUGAGACAUGUCCCUCAACUCUCUGAGCAUAUUCCAAGAAUCUCUUCUUCGACCUCCUUUUGGGUAACCAUAAAAAUCAGUUAACAUUGAUUCUCUUUUUAUUGUAUCUUCCACAAUUAAAUUGAUAUUGUUUAUAGAGUAAUUAAGAAUUUUACACAAGCUAUUAACUUUUCAUAUCACUGCUAUCUAGGGGUGGGAUUAGGUCGAGUCGGGCCAAACUUUACUUAAAUAGGUCAGAUCUAAUUUAAAAAGUUAAAGCCUAGGCGACCUAUUAGCUUGUCAAAGACUUUAUUUUAAGUCUAAGCUUUUUAAAAGUCUAGCCUAAUAUUGUCAAAAAGCCUAGUUUAUGCUAAGAAUUUUAAAUAGAAUAUCUGUUCUAUUUAUAAAAAGGCUAAUAAACAUAUAUUUCUUAGAAGAUUAAUAUGCCAAUAAAAUUUUGUAGAGCUUGUAUAUCAAUUUUGUUUCACUCUGUAAGCAUAUAUUGCAUGUAAAUCGAAUAUAAUUUGGUAAGGCCUCUACAUCAAUUGUAUAGAGGCUAUUAGCCAUAUAUGGGCCGAAAAUUUAUUAAUACAAUGGAGGAGUAUAUAUAUAUAUAUAUAUAUAUAUAUAUAUAUAUAUAUAUGAGGAGGGAUAUUUUGACUUCAAGAGUAAGUUUAUAGACUUAUUCCAAAUCUCCACCUUUCAUCUUAUUUUAAUCUAAUAGUUUAAAUGUGAGUUUUAAUUGUUAAUCAUGUGACCAUUUUUUUGGAUCUCAUUCUUAUAAAUAUUUUCUCCAUUUAAUCUCCCUUAUUAAUUAAUGUAAUAAAUACCUCCCCAAUUUUAUUUUAUUUUUUGGCGCACCUUUGCCAAUUCAAAAAGUGUUUUUUAAUCUUUUUCUCCAACAUUAGAGCAAGGUUGCAGUUUGAAAUAUAAAUUAAAAUGUAAGCUUUCCACUCUCACCUCUUGAACCUAUGGAUGAGAAGAUUUUUUUUAUUGAAAUGUAAAUCAAAAAGGAAAGAAAUGAGAUUGAGAGCCAUCAUGUAGAAUUGAGGUUGGAGUGAAACGGAGAGCCAUCACUCUAUAUCCUAUUGUGAUUUAUAUGAUUAUCCAAUCAAAGAAAUUGGGUGUAUACAAAAUCAAUUGGGUGAGUUAGGGUACAAAGCAUUAGGAGGAAAUUUUGUUGUUUUCUGAGAGUUAAAAUAAAUAAAAAAGUAAUUAAGGGAUAAAUGAAAUUUGUUUUAUGAGAAUAAAAUAAAAAAACUUAAAAGUGUGUUUAUGAGAGAAAGGAAAUUUGAUUUAUGAGAAUUAAUUAAGGGAGAAUAAUUGGAGAAGGUAUUUAGAUCCACAAAGAUGGUCAUAUGAUUAACAAUUAAAACCCACAUUUAAGCCAUUAGAUUAAAAUAAGAUGAAAGGUGGAGAUUUGGAGUAAGUCUAUAAACUUACUCUUGGAGUCAAAAUAUCCUCUCUCUCUCUCUCUCUCUCUCUCUCUCUCUCUCUCUCUCUCUCUCUCUCUCUCUCUCUGUAUAUAUAUAUAUAUAUGAGAUAUGAGAUAGAAUCCGUUGACACUUUAUAUUGACACCAAAUCAUAUCCCUUGAUUUCAUUUGAUCCAAUAGCUCCUAUUAAUUCACUUAACCUUGUACCUAUGUGUGAUGCACUGAACCACACCGUCGUCUUCAUUCUCACGUUAUACGUACGCCGUCUGCUAUCUGCAGUUUUCGUUCAUCUCUUCUCCCCUUGCACACCUUCACAAAUGCUUCAUCUAUAUUAUGUGUUGCUCCUAUCGAAAUUAAAACCCACUAUUCAAUUAGUGGUGGAUAUGAGUUAAAACCUUGUACGCUAAUUCUUCAAAUGGAUCCUCUAAGAUUAAUUCCUCAAAUUUUUUGAUUAGAUUUAUGAAAUCAAUAAUAAUUGGAUGACGUUAGAAAACCGAUGGACAUUAUUUAUUGAUUUGCUUCAAUUUGUGCAAUUUUAGGUGAGAAAAAGAAAUUGCAUAUCAGAAUGCAUAAUAUAAAAUAAAAAAUUGUGGGUUUGGUAAAAUGAAAAACUAUGUAAAUUAAAAUGAAAACCAAGAGUUGUUUCCUUUGUUUGGGUAUGGACAAGGAAGUAGCCAAGAUACAAGAGACAACAUUUUUCCAUUGUUGUUCCUGUAUACUUUGUUCAGCAAGAUUGAAAAGGAACAAAAAGAAAAUAAGAGUGCACAUUACAGUGAAAAAGGCCUAUGUUAGUUGAUUUAGUAAAUAAUUAUAAGCCUGUUACAGUGAAAAAGGCCUAUGUAAGUUGAUUUACUUUUUUUAUUCUGAUCUAUUUAAAUUAAUGGUUUUUUUAAAAAGCUUGAAUCUGACUUAUUUACUAAACAAGCUAAACCGGUCUGGGUUUUAAGUAAGUCGAGUUAUAAGCCCCUAACAAACGGUCUGGCUUAUUUUAGGAUUUAGGGUUUACCCAAAUGAUCCCUCCACUUCUCCCUUCAACAUAUAUAGCACAACAAGAAUCAAAACCAAACCUAACUCGUAAGAAUUCUAUAGUCAUUGCUUUUGCCAACGUCUCGUACAAAUAAAGAAUAUCAAGAUUUUAUUUUUGGUUAAUAAAAAGUAGUAAUGCUAAAGGAAGAGACAACCCCAAAAAAAUUAGCUCUAAUAUUUAAUGUAAUACUACUAUGCAUGUAGUAGGAAUAAAUGGGAAACGUAUGCUCUUUUUUUUUUUUUUUGUUACCUGGGAAACGUAUGUUUGAUUGUUUAUUGAAUAGUAGAAAAUUGUUGUAAAGGAAUUCUUUUUUCGACGUUAUAAAGGACUCUCUUUAUGCAUCUCCAAUAAACACUAUCUAUACUUUGUAAAAAGAAUACAAAAAUAAAUGUGAGCAUUGAUAGGGAUAUGAUAGCAUCUAGGAAUCGGGUUCCACCUUAGUUUCUUCUCCUUUAUCCAUUACUAACAUAUGAUUUAUGGUCAAUUUUCAACCUCAAAGAGCAUUCCUUUAAUAAAUAGUUUCCCGUUUUUUUUUUUAUUAUUUAAAUAAUCGAUUUUCACAUCUAUUUAGUUUAUUUCUCUAAUUUUUUCAUCAUCUUAGUGCGACGUUAUUUUGUUUGUCGUCUUUGUGUGACAUUGUUUAUCUUUAUUGUCUUGUUUAGAUGUUUGUUUCAUUCAUAUUGUCAUAUCAAGUUUGAUGCAGUGCAUGUUCAAUCAAUGAUUUAAAAAUUGUCAACGUUGUUGUGAGUUUGUUCGUGGAUUCAUCAAUUUUGUUUUUAGCAAAUUCAUAUUGUAUCGGUGUACUCUAUCAAUUUGAAUGAAUAAUAUCAUUUAUUACUAAAAAAAAGUACCGGGUACAAACUUUAAAUUUUCCGUUUAGUUAUCUUAAAGUGAAUUUUUAGCCACUAAAUUAUUUUAUUAAAAAAAAUCACUAUAUAUAAUGAUUAAAAUUAUAAGCGUAAUUUCAGGAGUGAACAUAGACCUUUAUUCAAAAGGGAAUGAACAUAGACGUAUAAUUAAAGGAGAACGAUAUUUCAUUGUCAUUAAUUUGUUUAUUGUCACUACGUGAAUAUUUUCUAAUUAUUUCGUGGGUGACUGCGACUGAGUCUAUUCAACAAAAAACAAAAAUCUACCGACUAAGUCUUCUUAUAAUUCCAAGACAUCGACUUUGAAUUUUUGAUACAACAAUGACCCAAUCUCACCCAAUCUUAAGAGUACUAUCAUAAUUCAUACAAAAUAGGUCAUAUUUUUCGGUCCUUAAAUAGGUCAUAUUAUAUUUUUCGGUCCUUAAAAAAAAUUGAUAUUUGAUUUUUUAAAAUUAAAUUAACAAGGGUAAAAUUGAGAUAAAAAGUGAUAAACUGUAAGUUAUAAGAUAUUUGAAGCAGCUUAAGAAAAAUGGUAUAAGCUCGAAAAAGAAAGUUAUAACUCGUGAGAAAACUUGUUUGCUAAAAAAAUAAAAAAUAAACUCGUGAGAAAAAAAAUUGUUAACAGACAUGUUUUAUCUUAGUCAUAUGAGAUCAUAAAUUAUAAAUUAUUUGUUAUAAGUGACAUUAACCCAAGAACAAUUUCGUAAUAGUGUAUAUAAAAUAAAAUCAUUAAUUAAUAUGGUAAUUCAGAAUAUUUUGAUUGAUUUUGGAUGUAAAACUGUUUUGGACCGUUAAUCUACCACUAUUAAACUCUUAAUACAUUACCAAUUUUUGUUAAUAUGCAAUUGCAUAAUAAAUUAUUUGUGAUUAAGAUAUCAACUGUUAAUUUCUCAAUUUACUGAUUACACGCUUUAGAAGAAUAAGUAAAUUAGCAUUUUAGUUCUCGGAAUAAUAAAGGACAAAUUAUUUAUUCACUAAAAUUUGUGAAAUAAUAAUUAAUCAAUUAAAUAAAAUAAUACUAUCAAUUAAUUCAGUUCCUCAUAUCUUAUGAAAAAUAAAUCAUCAACAUUUAUAAAAGAUUUGCAUGUUGACUUUUUUAAUUUGUAAAGUUCUAACAUAAAUAACGUGGUAAUUUGAAGUUCGAUAUAAUGUUAAGUGAAGUAUGAUAAAUGAUUGUUUUAAGUCAUGAUUCGAACUCAGUUUUUUUCGAACAAUUUAUCUUAAACAAAAGUUAAGUGAGCACUUCAGCUCAACCGCUCGACUGAAUUAUAUAUUAAUUUAUGUUUUUUAUACAAAAAUAAACGAUAUUCAUUCAUUUAAAUUGAUAUAGUACAUCGAUACAAUACGAAUUUAAAAUUGCUAAAAACAAAAAAGGAUGAAUCUACGAACAAACUCAGAGUAUCCAUGUUAAUAGCAUAAAACGGUAGAGUAUAUAUGCCUACAAAUAUACCUAUCAAGCCACUGAAAUACUCAUGUUUCGGAUCUGCAACGUUGACAAUGCAAAAGUCAUUGAUUGAAUCUGCAUUUGAUCAAAGCUAAUCUUUCAACCUGAAUCAAAUAAAAACCGCAUUAAGACAUGAAUAAAAAACACACCGCACAAAGACGAGAAAUCAAAAUAAAUAAAGUUGUGCUAGAUGACGAAUUCACAAAACCAACAAAAGAAAGGUGAAAAUAUGUGAAAAAUUACUUAUUUAACUAAAAGAGAAAGAGAAACAAUUCAUAGGGGUGAUUUCGUGUCAAAAUUGAUAGUAAGUCACACCUUUUUGGUAGAUGAAGAAGAAAAAAAGUCGUGUGACUAGGGUUUAGGAAAGGAAAAGUGAGAGAAUUUCUACCUUAUAUAAUUGAUUUUUUUAUGUUUUAAAACCAAGACAUUUUCUACACGCGACUACGACAACUAAUCUCUCAAUGUAAACGAAAUUCAUCGUAGAAGUUGUCAUCUCUCAAUAUAUAUUAUCUAUACACAAUGAUCAACAGAUUAAAAUAAUGACCACAUAGCCGAGAGACUCAAAUAAAUAUUCAUCAAUUUUGUUACACCAUAUUGGUAUAUAACUUUCAACUAUGUGGUGUUAAAGUCUGAAAACACGACUAAUUAACUAAUACACUUUAAAGUACUAAAGUAUUACUAUUUAACGAAUUUUAGGACCCACCAUGACACCAUUGCAAUAAUUUCAAUUGGAAAAAUAUUUAGCACCGUUUGGUCAGACUUUUUUCGGUCUAAAAAUUAUUUUAAAACAAAGUUAAAAUAAAACUCUUUAAGGAAAAAGUUAAAGUUGUUUGGUUUCUUUAUUUUUUUUAGUUUUUUUUUGAACAAGCCAAAAUGGAAUUAUAUAAACAAAAAGGCAGUCCCAAACGCACAAGGUGUGCCCUAGCGACUACCUCCAAAACCAAGAGUUACAAGAAUUACAACCAAGCCACAACAGAAAGACAUUAGCCAAUACCCAAACAAACAAGAGGGUUUGACCACCACUGCUGAGUUCCAAAAACAAAGGUAGCUUUUUUAACUUUAAGUCAACCUAAAGACAACAUCUUAAUCUUAUCUAAUAAACAAGGGAUGGGGGUAACAACAUGAUUAAACAGACGGUUAUUUCGUUCAUUCCACACAACCCAGGCACAAAGAAGCCAAAUAAGUUGCAUAAAAGAACGUCUAGCAACACCACCACCUGUCAAAUGAGUAAACUGUAAAAAAUGAUCGGAAAUAUUAUAUGUGUCCACCCCAUAGCAACCAAUCCAAUCACGCACCAGAUGCCACAGAGAGCCAAAAGUAUUACACAAUAAAAAGAGAUGUUGCACCGAUUCAGGAUGACCACAACCAGUAACACACGAGGACAUGUCAUGCGACAACACCCGUCUAGCAAUCAAAUUAGUCCUUGUUGGUAAACGAUCUCGGAUGAGCCUCCACACGAAAACGAACACCUUCAAGGGAACCUGUUUGUGCCACACCAAAUCCAAAGCAUAGUCCGCUACCUGAGGAACCUGAGAAGUCAACAAACUAUAUGCACCAUGAACAGUGUAACCACCAGAUGGGUCCGGAAGCCACACCCAGCUAUCUGAAACAUUAGGAUCCAAAGAAACAUCAAGAAUUAAAGCCCUGCACUCCUCUAGCAAGUCCUCAUCCCACUGCCAUAACCUACGUCUCCACCUCCACACAUCCCCCCACUGCUCCGAAUCAACAGAAAGCAAGUCCGCCACGAAUAUAGACUUAUUCUCUGUUAACUCAAACAACCGACUAAACCUCACACGAAGAGGAGCCUCCCCUAUCCACCUAUCGAACCAAAAUGAUGUAUCUGCCCCAUCACCAACUCUCCUCAACACCUGAUCCUCAAACCAGCCGCUACCACCAACACCAACCCUACCCCUAAGACGACUCACCUCCGACCACCAACAAGAAACUCUCCGGCCCCCAACCUGCCACCUAAUUCGCCAUAUCUGGCAACUAAAACCCUAUACCACAAAUCACCUCUAUCAACCAACAACCUCCAACACCAUUUCCCUAACAAUGCUAUAUUAAACUCCUUCAAUCUCCUCACCCCCAAACCGCCACACUCCUUUUUUAAACAAACAGUUUGCCAACUUAACCAAGAUAUUUUCCUAUUAUCCUCACUCCCCCCACUGCUCCGAAUCAACAGAAAGCAAGUCCGCCACGAAUAUAGACUUAUUCUCUGUUAACUCAAACAACCGACUAAACCUCACACGAAGAGGAGCCUCCCCUAUCCACCUAUCGAACCAAAAUGAUGUAUCUGCCCCAUCACCAACUCUCCUCAACACCUGAUCCUCAAACCAGCCGCUACCACCAACACCAACCCUACCCCUAAGACGACUCACCUCCGACCACCAACAAGAAACUCUCCGGCCCCCAACCUGCCACCUAAUUCGCCAUAUCUGGCAACUAAAACCCUAUACCACAAAUCACCUCUAUCAACCAACAACCUCCAACACCAUUUCCCUAACAAUGCUAUAUUAAACUCCUUCAAUCUCCUCACCCCCAAACCGCCACACUCCUUUUUUAAACAAACAGUUUGCCAACUUAACCAAGAUAUUUUCCUAUUAUCCUCACUCCCCCCCCCCCCCCAAAAAAAAAAAAAAUUAAUAAACAAAGAUUCAAUAGAGGAGAUUAUACCUGAUGGAGCUUUGAAGAAGGAAAGUGCAUAGACAGGCAAAGAGGUCAGGACAGAUUUGAGAAGAACCAAGCGACCACCAAAAGAUAGAAACCGACUAUUCCAACCUGACAGUCUAGAUUUAAUACGAUUCACAAUAGGUUCCCAGAAACACAAUCUUCGAGGAUUACCACCAAUAGGCAUACCCAGAUACAAGAAAGGAACGUUACCUACUUUACAACUCAACACGGAAGCAGCCUCAUGUAACCAAGACGACGCAAUAUUCACCCCAACAAGCAUACUCUUAUGAAAAUUCACUUUCAACCCCGACAUAGCCUCGAACAACACAAGGGCCGCCCUUAAAGCACGAACAUUAGCCCAACUUUUAGUUCCUAACAACAAAGUGUCAUCAGCAAAUUGGAGGUGAGAUACAACAACCGGAUUAACCACCCCAAUGCUAUAGCCAGAGAACAGUUGAGCCUCAACCAAAGAUUUCAUCACAACAUUAAGACCCUCCGCGGCCAACAAAAACAAAAAAGGAGACAAAGGGUCACCUUGUCUUAACCCUCUCAUCAACGGGAAUUCAUCAGUUGGACUUCCAUUAACUAAGACAGACGCUGUGGCAGUGCUAACACACUCUUUGAUCCAAUUCCUCCAACGGGAAUUCAUCAGUUGGAAUUCAUCUUUAAAAGUUGUUUGACAAAAUAUUGUAUACCAAAUUUUGUUAUAAGAAUAUCAUAUUUUUGGUGUCAUUUAAAAAGAUAAGAAUUUAUAUUAUAUGAUAUUAUAUUUGUUACAUUGUUGGUGUCAUUGAAAAAGAUAUGUUUAGUUUUUUAAUAAGAAAAAGAUAUGCAUAGUUUGUUACAACAUAAAUGUGUAAAGUAUAUAUAAGUAUAAUUUUUUAGGUAUCUAUACUAGUACUUUUAAUUAAAAUCAAAAUUUUAUAAAAAUAAUAAUUGUACGCAUUGCGCAACACUGAAAAAAUUAUACCCAUUAGCAUAACAAAAAAAAACAGACAUACAGACAUAAAAUAUUACUCUAAACGCUAAUGUGUGUGUGUAUAUUUGUGAGGUUGAAAAAAGGGAAUAAAAAUAUUUGGUGUCAUUCAAUGACAGCAUGAAUAAAAAUAUUUGUGAGGUUGUGAUAAUUAAACGAUAUUAAAAUUAAAUAUAUAAGUGAUAAAAAGAUAAUAAAACUCCUUCAAAAAUAGAUAAUUAAAUUGAUCCUCCUUUAAAAAAAAAUUAUAUGGACCGGUUCAAAAAAAAUUAAAUUGAAGAAAAAACAAAUUGAAAUAUAAUAUUAAAAAAUAAAAUAUAAGGUUGCUGCGUGAGUUGAAGAGGAGUGCUUGUGAAAUAAAUUACAAAGAAGUAGUUUUUUGAAGUAGCAUUCAACAACUUUUGGUUAAAGCUCAUUCCAUUCAAAUUUUAUGCAUUCUAAAAAAAGUACUUUUUUUCGAAGGUAUUUUAUUGAUAUUGUGUUUGGCGUAGCUUCUCCUUAAAAAUGUAGAAAAGUUGAAGAAAAAAAAAAAGUCGGGUCAAACAGUACUUUAAUAUACUCAAUUAAAGUUACUAAUGUACUGGCAAGUAACUUUUAGAGGAAGAUUUUCUUUUUUUAAGGAUUUUAGAGGAAGCUUAGCAACACACUUUUAAUAUACAUUUUUCUAGAAUUUUUUUUUAUUGAUUAAAAUUCAUAUAUAUCCUCAUAAAUCAUGUGGAUUUCAUAUAAUAUAAUAGAAGACACAAAUUUUAACCGACAAAUAGAGUGUAAAAAAUAGAGAAAUGAUAUUUGUACAACCACUUUGUGAUAAUUUUUGGACAAUUUUCUCUCUCAUACUCAUAUUAUAUUCUUACUCUCUUCUUUUUUCUCUCUCCAUUAUUUUUGACCAAUGAAAAGAGAGAAAAGAAAGAUUGUCAAAUAGGUUGUACCAAAUGGUUGUUCAAAUAGGUUGUACCAAAUGGUUGUUCAAAUAUCAUUUCUUUAAAAAAUAUAAGCAUUAAAGAGUUUGUUGUUAACAUUAUUUUAAUUUUUUUUAUGUAAUCCACACUUUGAGUCAUGGAGUGCUUUACUAAUUCAUUUUGUUUUUCGCAACCCAAUUCAAGAUUGUCUAGAAACAAAGAGGACUGACCUAAUAAAUAAAUAUUAAAAUAAGCUACUUGAGCUAAACAAUGAGAUUUCCAAACAAGGUAGGUCCUACUCAAGUUCUAUAAAUAGCAUCCCUCACCAUGUCAUAAACCGCAUCACAAGUUAUAUACUAGUUGUAUUUUUAUUAUAUACUUCUCCUUUCAUUUUCUUCUUGCAUAUUAAUCUUCUUUAUCUUAAUAUAUAUCAUGGGUGUUUUUACUUUCAAUGAUGAACAUGUCUCAACCGUGGCUCCAGCUAAACUAUACAAAGCUCUUGCAAAAGAUGCUGAUGAAAUCGUCCCAAAGGUGAUUUCUGCUGCCCAAAGUGUUGAAAUUGUUGAAGGAAAUGGAGGACCAGGAACCAUUAAGAAGUUAUCCAUUGUUGAAGGUAAUUAAGAGCAUAUACGACGUACAAAUAUAUAAUACUUAAGAUCAAAUGAUACAUAGUGUUCACGUAAAAUUGUUUUACACCGACAACCAAUCAAAUUUAUCAGUACAACAAAGAAUUGUGUAACUACCUUUUAUUUAAAAAUUGAUAAAUAUGAUGUGACAAAUUGAAGAGUUGUGAUUGAUUAAAUGAUUCACAAAUAACUAAGUUAAAUUCAUUAUACCAAAUAAAAGUAAGUUAAAUUCAUUAUACCCAAAAAAAAAAAGUAAGUUAAAUUCAAGUGUAUCAAAAAAAGUCAUUCAAAUCUAUUUGGAUAGUUAUGGUAGUAGCCAUUUAUGUUAUACUUUUAUUUUUAAAAUAG